rnacentral:tRNA from 1 species
GCCUUCGUGGUGUAAGGGUUAGCACACUCGGCGCGUAUUCGAGAGGUCCGAGGUUCGAGUCCCGGGGAGGGCA